AUUGAACGCUGGCGGCAGGCCUAACACAUGCAAGUCGAACGAGUGGCGGACGGGUGAGUAAUGUCUGGGAAACUGCCUGAUGGAGGGGGAUAACUACUGGAAACGGUAGCUUAUACCGCCUUCCAUCGGAUGUGCCCAGAUGGGAUUGGCGAGUAGGUGGGGGAAAGGCUCACCUAGGCGACGAUCCCUAGCUGGGCUGAGAGGCUGACCGGCCAAAUUGGAACUGAGACAGGGCCCAGACUCUAACGGAAGGCACCAGGGGGGAACAUUCGACAAUGGGCACAGGCCUGCUGCAUCCAUGCCGCGUGUAUGAAGCAGGCUUCCGGUUUGUAAAGUCUGUUCAGCGGGGAGGCGUUACCCGCAGAAGAAGCACCGGCUAACUCCGUGCCAGCAGCCGCGGUAAUAC
rnacentral:rRNA from 1 species